AAUAGAUACCCGGGUAGUCCACGCCGUAAACGAUGGAUGCUAGCUGUUAGUCGGUAUCGACCCCGGUAGUGGCGAAGCUAACGCGUUAAGCAUCCCGCCUGUGGAGUACGGUCGCAAGACUAAAACAUAAAGGAAUUGACGGGGACCCGCACAAGCGGUGGAGCGUGUUGUUUAAUUCGAUGAUAAGCGAAGAACCUUACCCAGGCUUGACAUCCUAGGAAGGUCUCCAAAAGGAGACUGUGCCUUGUGAGCCUAGUGACAGGUGAUGCAUGGCCGUCGUCAGCUCGUGUCGUGAGAUGUUUGGUUAAGUCCAUCAACGAGCGCAACCCUUGUGAUUAGUUGAAUUUUUCUAAUCAGACUGCCCUGGUAACAGGGAGGAAGAGGGGAUGAUGUCAGGUCAGUAUCUCCCUUACGUCUGGGGCUACAAACACGCUACAAUGGCCGGUACAAAGGGCAGCCAAGUCGCGAGACGGAGCAAAGUCCCAUCAAAGCCGGUCCCAGUUCGGAUAGCAGGCUGAAACUCGCCUG
rnacentral:rRNA from 1 species